UGUAUACUUGCUCUAUAUAUAAAUGAAACCUCACAAAUUGAAAUAUGUCCAAAAAUGGCGGCGAUUUCAUUCACAGUUGCUUCUCCUUCCAAGCCCUUAAACCCAUCGAUCGCCCCCAAAAACCCUACCAUCUUCAAUCUACUACCCAAUCCAUGGAAUCCCCAGCUCAAAAGAGCCCUCUUUCUCAAAUCUCCUUCAAUUUCUCCUAUCUUUAUCAGGCCUUUAAAAACCCAACAAUGUCGUACUUCUUCCACUCCAACCACUUCCCUUUUUACCGGCAUAGUUGAAGAAAUCGGCCAAAUUAAGCAACUGGGUUACGAUAAACCCGAUAGUUUCACCAUGAAAAUCCAAGCAAAACUCAUUCUUGAAGACAUCAACCUCGGUGACAGCAUUUCUGUCAACGGAACUUGUCUAACGGUGGAUGAUUUUGAUACCCAGUUGUUGGAAUUCAGUCUUGGAAUUGCUCCGGAAACACUGAGGAAGACUUCUUUGAUCGAAUUGGAAAAAGGGUCUUUGGUCAAUUUGGAGAGGGCUUUGAGGCCUACUACUAGAAUGGGGGGUCACUUUGUGCAGGGACAUGUUGAUGGGACUGGAGAGAUUGUUGAGCUCAAACCUGAAGGGGAUUCUUUAUGGGUAAAGGUGAAGACUGCGAAAGAAAUUUUGAGGUACAUUGUGCCCAAAGGAUUCAUUGCUGUGGAUGGAACUAGUUUGACUGUAGUCGAUGUGUUUGAUGAAGAAGACUGUUUUAACUUCAUGUUGGUGGCUUACACGCAGCAAAAUGUGGUGAUUCCAACGAAGAAAGUGGGGCAGAAAGUUAACCUCGAGGUGGAUAUAUUGGGAAAGCACGUGGAGAAGCUUCUUAGCAGUGGCUUUGUAGAUGCCAUCAAAUCUUCUUCAUGAGAAAGGAAAGCAAGUAAAACAAAAGGCAGCUGCAGCUGAAUCAAAUUUGAUGGACAACAACAGGAUUCUACUGAUGACUUAUCACUUGCCCAGCUGAUUUUUUCUACUGCAGUAUCUUGUAAAUAUAUGGCUCCUGGGCCUAACUCAACCUCAAAAGUUAGCUCAUGAGGGGAGGAUUGCCCAAAAUCGAUUUAUGUAGACCACCGGUCUAUUCCUCAACCAAUGUGAGACUUUUACCCACUCUAACACUACCAUCAGUAGCAAAUUGAUCAUCUAUGUGUCAAAAACUCAAGCAGUAAGUAGGAAACAUUACUUAUGGUGAUUGUACUAAUGUGGUAAUCUGAGCGGGUUCACGUAGUGUAAACGCCAAUGAGAAAAGAGCCACUUUUAAGUUUCAAUCUAUGCUGCUAAGGUGGUACAAGUCUUUAUAGUACUGAAGAGUUGUGAAAUCUUGUUUAGGACUGAGAUUGAGAUUGAGAUUGCUGAUUUUUUAUUUUUUUUGGGCAAUGUAAAGGGUUAUUCAUUGCACUGCUGGCAUGCAUGUUCAGCUAUUAAGUGAUAAUUUCUUGAUUGAACUA